rnacentral:lncRNA from 10 species
GGUUGCAGUGAGCUGAGAUCGUGCCACUGCACUCCAGCCUGGGUGACAGAGCGAGACUCCCUCUCAAAAAAUAGUAAAUAAAUAAAUAAAAAUAUAGGCUGGGCGUGGUGGCUCCCGCCUGUAAUCUCAGCACUUUGAGAAGCCAAAGUGGGCCGAUCACCUGAGGUCAGGAUUUCAAGAACAGCCUGGCCAACAUGGCAAAACCCUGUCUGUACUAAAAAUACAAAAAGUAGCCACGCAUGGUGGUGCACACCUGUAGCUCCAGCUACUCAGGAAGCUGCGGCACAAGAAUUGCUUGAACCUGGGAGGCAGAGGUUUCAGUGAGUCAAGAUCGAGCCACUACACUCCAGCCUGGGCGACAUGGCGAGACUUUGUCUCAAAAAAAUAAAUAAAUAAAUAAAGUGAGGUCCUGGCCAGGUGCAGUAGCUCACACCUGUAAUCCCAGCACUAUGGGAGGCUGAGGCAGGAGGAUUGCUUGAACCCAGGAAUUUGAGGCCAGCCUGGACAACAUAGUGAGACCCUGUCUCUACAAAAAAAAAUAAUAAUAAAAGUAAGCAAACAAAUGUGAGGUCCUAUUCUGCUGUGUAUUAUACCAGUGCCUUCAUGCUGUAAGCUUCAACUGCAACCAGUUCUGUUUACUCAAUAAUAUCGCUCAGAUAAAGGGUAUUUUUUACUAUUAUUA